AAGGCUCUUCCUUCACACCUCAAGUAUGUCUUCCUUGGAGAUGAAAAUGCUUUUCCAGUUAUUAUUUCUAAAGAACUCACAUCUUCUCAAGAAUGCACUUUAUUGGAAACAUUGAAAUUCUACGAAAGGUAAUCGGUGGACUCUGGAUGAUAUUAAAGGGAUAAGUCCUUCCCUUUGUAUGCACAGGAUUAUUCUAGAAGAUGGAGCCAAGGCUACCGUCCAACCCCAAAGGAGACUUAAUCCUACAAUGAAGGAGAUAGUUCAUAAGGAAAUCAUCAAACUUCAUGAAGCCGGAAUAAUAUAGCCAGUUCCAAAUAGUCAAUGGGUAAGUACGAUACACUUGGUGCCCAAGAAAAUCGACAUGACCAUAGUGAAAAAUGAUCAAGGUGAAAUGAUCCCAAUGAAAGUACAAAACAGUUGAAGAAUGUGCAUAGAUUUCAGAAAGCUAAACGAGGAUUUUACUAAAUACCAAUAGUAUAGGAAGAUCAAGAAAAGACAACUUUUACAUACACUUACGAUACAUAUGCUUUUAGGAGGAUGGCAUUUGGGCUAUGCAAUGUCCCAGAAUUUAACUUAACCAUCAAAGACAAGAAAGGAUCAGAGAAUUCAGUAGCCGACCACCUAAGCCGAAUUGUGCAAGAAGAGGAGUCAAUUCCAAUUAGAGAAGACUUGCCUGAUGAACAUCUUUUCAGGGUAACUACUUUCCUACU